rnacentral:lncRNA from 1 species
CGCUAAUAAAAAUCAUUUCCCUGCGAGCGCCAGGGCUGAGUCAGGCUCAGCCACCAGCCAGGACCCAGCGAGGGCGGGCAGGGCUGGAGUCUGCCCGGCUGUGCCCUUGCCAGGAGGGCUCAGGAUGGUUAUCAGCUGCCGGGGGGCAUUAUCAGCUGCAUCUCCCUGGGGACUGUCCCCACUUGCAGCAGCCUAAGGGUGCUGGGGCAAGGCAAGGGCUGGUUAUCCUCAGCACUGCCCUGAUGGUGGCACCUGGGAGGUCUGUCUGUGCCUUGGAGACAGCAGCACGUGGCCCUGGUGCCUUUUCUUCUGCCCCUGUGUCCCACCUGUCACUCUGCAGGCAGCCUUUGCCCACCUGGCCCUGGCUUUUCGCUGCGACGUGUUCACCCUGCAGCAGCGGGUGCAGGUGGAGAGACGGGCACGGGAUGCAGCGGAGGAAAACAUCCAGGAGGAGCUGGGGCAGUGCCGGGCUGCCCUGGAGAGGCUGGGCCGAUCGUGUGCCAGUGCAGGCUGCAAGGAGACGCUGGAGCAGCUGCAGCACAACCUGGCCGUGCUGGCAGCAGCUGUGGAGAGGGCAACCAGCGCUGCAGAGAAGCUGGGGGCUGUGCACCAGGUGUGUCACAGCCCGGUGUGGGAGCGAUGGAGGUGCUACAGAUGGGCUUGGGGAUGGUGAAGCCUCAUCCCUGGGCUUGCUGGGGUUUGUUCCUCCUCCUCACAGUUCUUGAUCUCACUUUUGUGCUUAGCAGGGUGCAAGGGAUCCAUUCACCCACCCCUGGGAGUGGGAAGGGGAUGCACCUUGGCCAAGGCUUUGCACAGGCACGUGGGGCUUCAAGCAGCUCUCUGUCCCCCUAGAUCUCUCCUAAAUUUCUUGUCCUGGACAAAAAAAUUCUCCUUCUGUCCUAAAUCUGUGUGUCCAUGGGCACCGGGACAGUCCCUUCACCCUGGGCUGGGAGAGGGACUUGGUGAACUUUCUGCAUCCUUCUCUGACUCUUUCAACAUUGUAAAACAGCUUAAAUGGGUUCUCCAAGCUCGCUUAUAUUUGGAAAUGUUUAAUAUGUGUCUCUCCCUGGCACUCCCUGUGUACUGGAGCCUUAGGCAGAGCCCUGUUGGUUAGGGCAUACAGCUGUUAACUAUCAUGGGAUCAAAGCCCAUCUGUCCAGUAAAUGGAAGGUCCUAGCUUAAUGAAAGCACCUGAGUUGCAUUUAAGGGAUGCAGGGUAAUGGCCUGUGGACUUUAGCAGAAACUAAAAGGGUUUUUAACUCUUGUUUAAGGCUUUGAAGACCUUCAGUUUAGGUAAUCCUAACUUUCUUAGAUAAUGGUAAGGAUUACAGGGGAGAGUGGAAGGACUCCCAGGGACGGGGAGGCACUGGCA